rnacentral:lncRNA from 1 species
GUGUUCGUGUGUUUUAAUUUCCUGCGUCGCAAAAGAAUCUGAUUGGUUGAUUCAAGGUCAACUAGGUACAAUUAUCACGGAUCGAGGAACUCUAUAAAGCUGAGUCAAAAAACCGACGCUUCACUUUAGUUGGAGUGCUUUUACGAAACGGUUUUGCUUUUUUCGAACAGUUUAAUUUCGGUGAAAAGUUUAAAGUGGAAUUAGUUCUGGUGAUUGUGAUACUCUUUCUGGAAAAGCACACUCAAAGCUUUGAAGAAAUAGUUUUCCCCUAGAACAAGCAAAGGUUAGGUGAACCCUUUGCGCGUGUCAGGUUGCCCAUUAACGUGGGUGCAAGUCUCUGGGCAGAAAAGCCGUACAUUUCGUCGUUCGACGCUGGGAAUGCUUCGUUGGUCAGACUGGUGGAUGAAAACCACGACGGGGUCGUGACGAACCGUUUCAACCGCCUUAGUCAACUCCAACGACUCGGAGACGCAUCUACUCCGCCCACCCAGUUGACCCCACACGUCCUUUUCGAAGCAAUCCCAGAGCUUGGAGGAAGUUCCGAGCUUUCGAGCAC